rnacentral:rRNA from 1 species
UACGUAGGGUGCAAGCGUUAAUCGGAAUUACUGGGCGUAAAGCGCGCGCAGGCGGUUCUAUAAGACAGAUGUGAAAUCCCCGGGCUCAACCUGGGAACUGCAUUUGUGACUGUAGAGCUGGAGUACGGCAGAGGGGGAUGGAAUUCCGCGUGUAGCAGUGAAAUGCGUAGAUAUGCGGAGGAACACCGAUGGCGAAGGCAAUCCCCUGGGCCUGUACUGACGCUCAUGCACGAAAGCGUGGGGAGCAAACAGG